CUACGGGUGGCACCAGUCGAGAGGCUUCCACAAUGGGGGAAACCCUGAUGGAGCGACGCCGCGUGGGUGAUGAAGGUUUUCGGAUCGUAAAACCCUUUCAGCAAGGGCGAAUAUGUUGGGUGUUAAUACCAUCCGACAGGAGACGGUACUUGCAGAAGAAGCUCCGGCUAACUCCGUGCCAGCAGCCGCGGUAAGACGGGGGGAGCAAGCGUUGUUCGGAUUUACUGGGCGUAAAGGGCGUCUAGGCGGGCCAGCAAGUCAGGUGUGAAAUCUCACGGCUCAACCGUGGAACUGCACUUGAAACUGUUGGUCUUGAGUACGGAAUAGGAAAGCGGAAUUCCUGGUGUAGCGGUGGAAUGCGUAGAUAUCAGGAAGAACAUCGGUGGCGAAGGCGGCUUUCUGGUCCGAUACUGACGCUAAAGCGCGAAAGUGUGGGGAGCAAACAGGAUUAGAUACCCGAGUAGUC
rnacentral:rRNA from 1 species